GUCUGAAAUUUCAUUUUUAAUGUCAGAAUAACAUAAAAAAAAGUAGCUUUUUCUCCAUAUGCAGUCUUGCAAAAAAAUGUAUACCAGGAACUUGGUCCUUUCUAGUGAUUUCUACAUAUGCAACUGCUCAUCUCUUAUGCACGUAUGCACUUGCACAUAAGUAAAUGUGCUUGCAGACAGACAAUAUUUCAUCUUGCCUUCUAACCUCCUGCUGUCAAGAUAUUGCCACAGAAAACCGCACAGAAAUAAAACUAACAGCUCCUCUUUCCCUGACUUCCAGAAUAACGCAGGGAACUGCUUCGGUAAAACCAAGCUGCUGGAUUGCUCUUGGUUUGCUCUGUGAACAAGCGCAACUGUGCAGCUUCUGCUGAGAUUGCCUUUUCUGUCAUAUAAUCUAUUCACACUAACUAAAGGAUCUGUAAGAAAAAACAGAACCACAGUUUUGAUUUAAACACAUGAAGAAAUAUUUAUCUUGGACCAAUUACUGGGGUCAUCAAAAGCUGCUCAAUUUAGUGCACAAAAAGGGAAAAAAAAUGUUUGAGUAACUCAACACAAAGUGCUAAGAUUCCCUGUGACCUAUGGUGUGCUCUUUUAUUGUUUGGGUGUUUUAUUCCUCUGCUAUCAUUAGGUGGGAUUAUAGAGAUGCAGAUCAGAACUGUUGAAGAUCAAGAAAAUCCUUAUGUUUUAACACGGGCAAAGGUCUCGCUUGCCAUCAGUUUUUGCCUGAUUAUGUUCAAUACCAGAUACCUCUCAGUUAACUUUAAAGCCAAGAAGUUGAAAAGAUUCACAACAGUUCUAACCCUCUGCUGAAAAAGCAGUGGAGUUCAAUGAAUUAAGUUUCAGUUGGUGAUAAUUUACAGUAUUCUGAGGACUUUCUUUCCCCAAGUUUAGUUCAUAAAAUAUUUCCGUACAGUUGAGGGAUAAUCUUUUAAAAGAACAGGUGAACAGUUCAAAAGCUUACCCACAAAAGAACAAACCAUAGGUAACAGAGGUAAAAAGCUGACCUAGAGAAUAAGUAUUUUUCUCUUGUUUUUCGAUUAACAAAAUUGAAUUCGAAACCAUUCUGUUUAUUAAAGACAUAUAGACAUAAUAACAGGUCACAGUUAAACAUCUUAACAGUCUUUAAACAUAACAGAAUUGAUAUGCAUCAUUAAGUUUCAUUAAGUACGAAUUCAAAAUAUAUACUUCAGUUUUGCUUUAUGUUCCCUUUAGACCAGCACCUCCAACACUUGUAAACGAUAUUUAGGCUGCCCCAAGCAAUCAAAAAGGACUUUGUAAAGGCUUUAACAAAACUCCAUCGUAAACCAGUUUAAAAUAUUCUUAAAUG
rnacentral:lncRNA from 1 species